GCAGACGGCGGAGAGCAGAGAGGGAGCGCGCCUUGGCUCGCUGGCCUUGGCGGCGGCUCCUCAGGAGAGCUGGGGCGCCCACGAGAGGAUCCCUCACCCGGGUCUCUCCUCAGGGAUGACAUCAUCCGUCCACCUCCUUGUCUUCAAGGACCACCUCCUCUCCAUGCUGAGCUGCUGCCAAGGGGCCUGCUGCCCAUCUACACCUCACGAGGGCACUAGGAGCACGGUUUCCUGGAUCCCACCAACAUACAAAGCAGCCACUCACUGACCCCCAGGACCAGGAUGGCAAAGGAUGAAGAGGACCGGAACUGACCAGCCAGCUGUCCCUCUUACCUAAAGACUUAAACCAAUGCCCUAGUGAGGGGGCAUUGGGCAUUAAGCCCUGACCUUUGCUAUGCUCAUACUUUGACUCUAUGAGUACUUUCCUAUAAGUCUUUGCUUGUGUUCACCUGCUAGCAAACUGGAGUGUUUCCCUCCCCAAGGGGGUGUCAGUCUUUGUCGACUGACUCUGUCAUCACCCUUAUGAUGUCCUGAAUGGAAGGAUCCCUUUGGGAAAUUCUCAGGAGGGGGACCUGGGCCAAGGGCUUGGCCAGCAUCCUGCUGGCAACUCCAAGGCCCUGGGUGGGCUUCUGGAAUGAGCAUGCUACUGAAUCACCAAAGGCACGCCCGACCUCUCUGAAGAUCUUCCUAUCCUUUUCUGGGGGAAUGGGGUCGAUGAGAGCAACCUCCUAGGGUUGUUGUGAGAAUUAAAUGAGAUAAAAGAGGCCUCAGGCAGGAUCUGGCAUAGAGGAGGUGAUCAGCAAAUGUUUGUUGAAAAGGUUUGACAGGUCAGUCCCUUCCCACCCCUCUUGCUUGUCUUACUUGUCUUAUUUAUUCUCCAACAGCACUCCAGGCAGCCCUUGUCCACGGGCUCUCCUUGCAUCAGGACGAAUAAUUUAUGGUCAGUGAAAAUCCAGGCCCCAGUGAGAUUCGAGUGGGCUGUAAAAUCGAGAGUCCUGCUCCCACAGGUUCCCAGUGCCCCCGACAAGCCCCUGCUGGUGUCUCCAUCUCCUGCCAAGCAUCCUCCAGUGCCUCCUCCUGUGGGCCUGGCCUCAGGGCUAUGGACAGACUCCUGUCCCAUCCCAGAGACCCCUCGUGAUCGUGCCCUGGCACGUGGGCCGUGGCCCGGCUGGGUCGGCUGAAGAACUGCGGAUGGAAGCUGCGGAAGAGGCCCUGAUGGGGCCCACCAUCCCGGACCCAAGUCUUCUUCCUGGCGGGCCUCUCGUCUCCUUCCUGGUUUGGGCGGAAGCCAUCACCUGGAUGCCUACGUGGGAAGGGACCUCGAAUGUGGGACCCCAGCCCCUCUCCAGCUCGAAAUCCCUCCACAGCCACGGGGACACCCUGCACCUAUUCCCACGGGACAGGCUGGACCCAGAGACUCUGGACCCGGGGCCUCCCCUUGAGUAGAGACCCGCCCUCUGACUGAUGGACGCCGCUGACCUGGGGUCAGACCCGUGGGCUGGACCCCUGCCCACCCCGCAGGAACCCUGAGGCCUAGGGGAGCUGUUGAGCCUUCAGUGUCUGCAUGUGGGAAGUGGGCUCCUUCACCUACCUCACAGGGCUGUUGUGAGGGGCGCUGUGAUGCGGUUCCAAAGCACAGGGCUUG
rnacentral:lncRNA from 1 species